AGACCCGAAACCCGGUGAUCUAGCCAUGGGCAGGUUGAAGGUUGGGUAACACUAACUGGAGGACCGAACCGACUAAUGUUGAAAAAUUAGCGGAUGACCUGUGGCUGGGGGUGAAAGGCCAAUCAAACCGGGAGAUAGCUGGUUCUCCCCGAAAGCUAUUUAGGUAGCGCCUCGUGAAUUCAUCUCCGGGGGUAGAGCACUGUUUCGGCUAGGGGGCCAUCCCGGCUUACCAACCCGAUGCAAACUGCGAAUACCGGAGAAUGUUAUCACGGGAGACACACGGCGGGUGCUAACGUCCGUCGUGAAGAGGGAAACAACCCAGACCGCCAGCUAAGGUCCCAAAGUCAUGGUUAAGUGGGAAACGAUGUGGGAAGGCCCAGACAGCCAGGAUGUUGGCUUAGAAGCAGCCAUCAUUUAAAGAAAGCGUAAUAGCUCACUGGUCGAGUCGGCCUGCGCGGAAGAUGUAACGGGGCUAAACCAUGCACCGAAGCUGCGGCAGCGAACGUAUCACCCAAGACAACUUUACGGAGUUGACGAUUGACGGAGCGAAGCGACGUCAAAGCGUUCAUUAAAGUCGAGUUGGCUUAGGGAUACGUUCGUUGGGUAGGGGAGCGUUCUGUAAGCCUGUGAAGGUGUGUCGUGAGGCAUGCUGGAGGUAUCAGAAGUGCGAAUGCUGACAUAAGUAACGAUAAAGCGGGUGAAAAGCCCGCUCGCCGGAAGACCAAGGGUUCCUGUCCAACGUUAAUCGGGGCAGGGUGAGUCGACCCCUAAGGCGAGGCCGAAAGGCGUAGUCGAUGGGAAACGG
rnacentral:rRNA from 1 species